UACGUAGGGCGCAAGCGUUGUCCGGAAUUAUUGGGCGUAAAGAGCUCGUAGGCGGUUUGUCGCGUCUGCUGUGAAAACUCGGGGCUUAACCCCGGGCCUGCAGUGGGUACGGGCAGACUAGAGUGCGGUAGGGGAGACUGGAAUUCCUGGUGUAGCGGUGAAAUGCGCAGAUAUCAGGAGGAACACCGGUGGCGAAGGCGGGUCUCUGGGCCGUAACUGACGCUGAGGAGCGAAAGCAUGGGGAGCGAACAGG
rnacentral:rRNA from 1 species